rnacentral:tRNA from 1 species
CGGCGGGGCGCCCGGUGGUUGCGCGGGACCUGCCGGUGCUGCGGGAGGUGUUCGGCGGCGCAGUGUCUUUCGCUGGUUCUGUAUCCGGCUUCGCGGCC